rnacentral:rRNA from 1 species
UCGAGCGAACCGAUGGGAGCUUGCUCCCUGAGGUUAGCGGCGGACGGGUGAGUAACACGUGGGUAACCUGCCUGUAAGACUGGGAUAACUCCGGGAAACCGGGGCUAAUACCGGAUGCUUGAUUGAACCGCAUGGUUCAAUCAUAAAAGAUGGCUUUUGCUAUCACUUACAGAUGGGACCCCGCGGCCGCAUUAGCUAGUUGGUGAGGGUAACGGCUCACCAAGGGCGACGAUGCCGUAGCCCGACCUGAGAGGGUGAUCGGCCACCACUGGGACUUGAGAACACGGCCCAGAACUCUCUACGGGGAGGCAGCAGGUAGGGAAUUCUUCCCGCAAUGGACGAAAAGUUCUGACGGGAGCAACGCCCGCGUGAGUGAAUGAAAGGUUUUUCGGGAUCGUAAAGCCUCUGUUUGUUAGGGGAAGAACAAGUACCGUUCGAAUAGGGCGGUACCCUUUGACGGUACCUUA